rnacentral:rRNA from 1 species
CUACGGGAUGCAGCAGUGAGGAAUAUUGCGCAAUGGGGGAAACCCUGACGCAGCGACGCCGCGUGGAUGAUGAAGGCCUUCAGGUCGUAAAAUCCUGUCAGAAGGAAAGAAGUGUAUGGUAGCUAAUAUCUGCCAUACUUGACGGUACCUUCAAAGGAAGCACCGGCUAACUCCGUGCCAGCAGCCGCGGUAAUACGGAGGGUGCAAGCGUUGUUCGGAAUUACUGGGCGUAAAGCGCGCGUAGGCGGUUUUAUAAGUCAGAUGUGAAAGUCCACGGCUCAACCAUGGAAGUGCAUUUGAAACUGUAAGACUUGAGUAUUGGAGGGGGUAGUGGAAUUCCCGGUGUAGAGGUGAAAUUCGUAGAUAUCGGGAGGAAUACCGGUGGCGAAGGCGACUAUCUGGCCAAAUACUGACGCUGAGGUGCGAAAGCGUGGGGAGCAAACAGGAUUAGAUACCCCGGUAGUC